rnacentral:rRNA from 1 species
AUACGGAGGAUCCGAGCGUUAUCCGGAUUUAUUGGGUUUAAAGGGUGCGCAGGCGGGAGAUUAAGUCGGCGGUGAAAUUUUGCAGCUCAAAUGUAAAAGUGCCUUCGAAACUGGUUUCCUUGAGUGUAGAUGAAAUAGGCGGAAUUUGUGGUGUAGCGGGGAAAUGCAUAGAUAUCACGAGGAACUCCGAUUGCGCAGGCAGCUUACUAAACUACUACUGACGCUCAGGCACGAAGGCGUGGGGAUCAAACAGGAUUAGAUACCCUGGUAGUCCACGCAGUAAACGAUGAUUACUAGCUGUUUGCGAUACAAUGUAAGCGGCUGAGCGAAAGCGUUAAGUAAUCCACCUGGGGAGUACGUUCGCAAGAAUGAAACUCAAAGGAAUUGACGGGG